rnacentral:lncRNA from 1 species
UACGCUGCAUCAAGUUAUGUACAACAAAUAUCGACAUCUUUUUUUUUUUUUUGGUUAUUGAUAAUGAUUUUUUGGUUAUUAGUAAUAAUUUUUUUUCCGUCGUAUACUGCUCAUCAAUUGUUCGACUAACGACAAUUGAUGACUAUGAGGCGGAAGAUCGGAGGCCUACUUCUUGCACCAAAAUCGAAAUGUGUACUGUUGCGCGGUCGCGUAUGUGAAUGAAGAAUAUGUGGCACGGCGGUGCAUACGCCUUUCAAUUCUCUUGUUAUCUGUCUCUGCCACACCUCACAUGGCACAUGCAUUGCAUCUUUUGGGGUCCCCGGCCUUAAUAUACUGCCACUGUAAUCAUGGGUGAGACAAAGCCACUUUUAUAUUUUUCUUUUAAUGGAGUAUAUAACCGGCCACCAAAUCAAUGGUUUGAACAGGCAAAUAUUAUAAGUCAUUAUCAUACAGCUACCUUCAUUUUAGGCUAACAGCAAACUAAUUAAUCAAUUUAAUCUAAAAAAGUUUGGGGAUCAUAGCAUGAAACUCAAAACUAAUGAAAAAAAAUUUAGAAUAUAAAACCAAAAAUUAGUGGUUGAAUUUGUUGGAACUUUAGAACCCAGUAUGAGAAAGUUUAAUCAAGACUAUAGACUUAUUUGUAAUGUUAGAAUUUGACAAAAAAAAUAGGCACAUAAAAUCUAAAACCAGUAGUAACUAGUUGGAAUUUUAGAGCCCUCAUAUGAAAAAAAUUAACCAAAACUGAAUACUUAUCUAUAAUGUUAGAAUUUGAUGCAAAAAUAAGAAUAUGAAAGUUGGAAAUUUAGAUAAAAAUAAUGCGAAAGUUUAACUAAAAUUAAUACGGAUGAAAUUAACUUGUAAUAACCACCUAUUAUAUUGAUAUUUAACCAAAAGUAUAGGAAUAUGAUUUUUAUUUAUAAUUUUUUCACAAUUCAUUUUACUAUAAUUAAAAUAAAAAUAUUAAAAUAUUGUGUAUCAUUCAACAUUUUUUAUUAUUUAUAAUUUUCCUUAUUUUAAUAUCUUUUUUAUUUUUUUGGGCAGACACUAAAAAAAAUUAAAUUAAUGGACAACUGGUAAAUAAAUUUUAGUUCAACUUUUGUACCUGAACGAAUCAGAAGGCAAUUAUUUUGGAGCAACCACGUGUCAUAUUCACUCUAAAUGAGGCCCAGGCCCCUCCAUCGUCCUGAUCAACGCAUCUAGUAAUUCUAGUUCUUUUUAAGGCCUCUCCGCAUUUUGUUGUUAUUUUCGUAUUGUGAUGCAUACGUGUGCCUGUGUGCAUACGUGUGCAAAACUAGUUUCAGGGGAGAAUAUUCAUCUUCUUUUGAAAUCCUCAAGUAGAGCCCACCAUCUAGUUAUGGGCCGAAUUGAAUUGAAUCCAUCCAAACAAAAAACAGAUCACAUCGACGGC